UGUAAUCAUUUUUCAUGUUUCGCCACCGACGAGUUACAGAAGUCUCUAUCUCUACAAGGUGGCAUUGACUAAAUACAUAAUAGAUCUGACAUUAUUCAUAUGAGACAAUGAAUGGACUAUGGACCUUACCUGCUCAGACAACUAUAGAUGUUAUCAUCGCCUUUUCAGUAAGAAUGCUGUUAACCCCAACAACAUCUCGAUGGAUGGAGCUAUGUAUUUGAUUCUGAUGUAGUACAUAUUUCUAGAGGGAAUAAUAUUUGAUUGUAUCUUCGUAUCUUGAUAUACCAGUUAUCAAACCCAAAUCCUAAGGUACAAGGAAUAUAUGUAAAGUAAAAAAUGUAACAUCGAUGUCAAAGUAAAAUAGCCUUUAUUACAUCGUGAAACGAGGACAAUUUAAUGAACGUUCAACAAUUGCUAGAAUUCUUUCUCUCACUUACUUUCUCUCCCUCCCGUUCUUCCUUUCACACACACACACAUUCCUUCUCAUUCUCUCCCUUCAUUCAUAUCAUUCAGUUUCGUCUGUUUACACAUUUAAUCUCUUUUCUCCUUUUUCGUUUCUUUUCAUUUGUUGCUUGUUGUUCUCUCUUACCAACGUCUGACAUAAUUUCGCGUGCUCGUAAUGUUCUUCGAGAAUAAUGCAUUACAGGACACAUACUUUGUCAUCAUGUCAAACAUAAACUCGUUCGAUCUAUCCCCGUAAUUAAUUCCUCAUAUCCUGUCCCUUCUGUCCGCCCAUAAUUUCAUCACGAUCUCUGAGAUCGUUAACGAUUCUAACAUUAUACCCUUCCUCCUCAAUCUCUUUGUUUCAUUCUUUCUUUCUUUCCUGUUCCUUAUCCGUGUUUUUCUAUUAGUAAGCGGUACAUCAAUAGCAUACAUCAUUCAGAUCGAUUCCAAAACUGCACUCUCUCUCCCUGCAGAAAAAAGGCACGAACUGGCGGAAAAGUCGGCCUAACUGUAUAAUAUUUUCAUUUAUUUUAUUAUGGAUGGAACUUCGUCACAAUACAUUAUUUUUUUAAAUUUCAUUUUCUUUUUAUCUGCUGCUUCUUUCCGCAGUGUGUAACAGGUUCGGCUCCCGUUUCCGUUUUAACCAAAUUCAUCGAUUCGUGCUUCGAAAGUUCGCCGCGUAGUGCGCGCAGUGUUCGAUCCUUCCAACGUCCUCCCUCUUCCAUUAUAUUUUUUAUUUCUUUCCUUCUUCUUCUUUUUCUACUUUGUUUCUCUAUCUCAAAUGCCCAUAAUCAACGAUCGAACUUUUAAAAGGAGAUCGUUUUGGUUAGAAUAACAUACUUUUAAUUAUAAGAAUAUAUAUACUCCUUCUCCAAAAAGUGAUUGUUAUCCUGAAAUUCGUUUCGAAUUCAAUUUCAUGCUCCUUAUUUUGGUGACUGUAUUGCAAGACGAAAAAUAACUUAAAAAUACGUCGAUCUGAAACGAAACUGGUACAAUUACAAUUUUCCGCGAUAAAUUUUUGUUGAAAUUUAGAUUAAAAUAUUAUACAAUGCAAAGUGCUUAUCGAGCUGUUUUGCAACCGCUCGCUUCAACACCACGAGAUCAUUUCACCCGGAGAAGGCACUGCAUCCACUACGCAGCUGGAACCUUCCGGAUUUUAUAUUUUUUCCCCCACCGUCCUCUCAAAGUAUCUACCGCAUAUUACACUUCACUGUUACAAUAACAUCCGCAUCGCUAUUCCUGGCGACUAAAUGUAACCUUACGAAUGUAUUACCUAUGUACAUACAUGCUGUGCCGUGUACACACGUGUAUCCACGUACACGCAAGAGAUGCGUUCUUGUGCGUACACGUGCAAACCUCUCUGCAUUUAGCAAAUUUAUCCUUUUUUUCACACUUACAAUUUUUAUAUAUAUAUUAUAUGUACUAUUGUAAUUAAUGCUUACGCUCUCUAAUUUCUAAAAAGAAACGGUAUUAUUAUUGUCCUGCCGUAUUUUAUUUUCGAGUAUUUUUUUGGUGUACAUACACGCAAUACACGCACACACGCACGAUUCUGGUGCUUAUGUAACGUAGUCAUGGAAAGCUCGAUGGCAUAACCACCAGUGUUCGUCGAAUACAAUUUAAAGCGAAUAUGUUUGUUAUCCCUACGUGCAUCCCCCUCUUUAGAGAAAAAUCACAAUAUAUACUCUCAUGGAAUUCGUUUUAGAACACUUUUCAAUCAAACACGAAUAUAGAGGUACAUAUACUCUACGUGUCGGUAUCGUAGUGUUCUUUACAACUUUACGAAGAUUCGUUUAUGGCACGCCAUUUACUCGCUUUAUAUUUAUUGUCUACGGUUACAGGAAACAAUCGUUCGACAGAUAGGAGAGGCAUCGCAGGGAUAGCGUUACUUUCGACGAGAGAAUUCAUAUCGAGAUCGAAUCAUUGAAUUUCUAUAUUAUUUCGGUAACUAGGCAAGCUCGGUCGUUCACGGAAGGCAUCGUACGGUGCUCAUUUUUUUUUUAAAUCGUUGCAUCAACAAUCAUUAACAAUUUUUUUUCUUCUUUUUUCCUCGUAUUUCUCUCCUCGUUUUCUUAUAUUUCGUUUUAUUUCAUCAUGCUCGUAUGAGUUAUUAUUCACUUUUAGUUUAAUUACUUCAUCUUUUUUUCCUUGUUUUUUUACGUAGUUUUCACGUAAUAGUUUAGGAAAUAACGGAGACAUAACCGAUGCCGAUGCGCGAAAGCUGGCAAAAAUUACGCUGUAGUCUGUGUCUGUUAUUUUUAAUAGUACGUACAUACAUACAUCGAGGCGAGCAGGUUGCAAAUACUCCCGAAUCAGAGCAAAUAUUUCUAUCUUUAUAUAUCUAUAUUAAUAUAUUUAUAUAUUUAUAUUUAUAUAUAUAAUUUUUUUAUUCUUCAUUUAGUCACUUAUACGUAUGCAAUAUUGUCUUCGUAAAUUUCCUGCUUUUUCUUCCUGAUGUUCUAAACCCGUUGGUCGUGAAAGUAUUCGAAAGUACAGAAUCGAGGCGUUUUUUUUCAGAGAGAGAAUAAUUAUAUAUAAUUGAAAAUCGAUAACCGACGAAA